CAGCCGCGCGGUAAUACGGAGGGGGCUAGCGUUGCUCGGAAUUACUGGGCGUAAAGGGCGCGUAGGCGGACAGUUAAGUCGGGGGUGAAAGCCCGGGGCUCAACCUCGGAAUUGCCUUCGAAACUGGCUGUCUUGAGUACGGGAGAGGUGAGUGGAACUCCGAGUGUAGAGGUGAAAUUCGUAGAUAUUCGGAAGAACACCAGUGGCGAAGGCGACUCACUGGCCCGUUACUGACGCUGAGGCGCGAAAGCGUGGGGAGCAAACAGGAUUAGAUACCCCCGUAGUCCCUGUCUCUUAUACA
rnacentral:rRNA from 1 species